rnacentral:rRNA from 1 species
UACGUAGGGUGCAAGCGUUGUCCGGAAUUAUUGGGCGUAAAGAGCUCGUAGGCGGUCUGUCGCGUCGGCUGUGAAAACCCGGGGCUCAACCCCGGGCCUGCAGUCGAUACGGGCAGACUAGAGUGCGGUAGGGGAGACUGGAAUUCCUGGUGUAGCGGUGAAAUGCGCAGAUAUCAGGAGGAACACCGGUGGCGAAGGCGAGUCCCUGGACAUUUCCUGACACUGAGGCACGAAAGCUAGGGGAGCAAACAGG